CCUACGGGAGGCAGCAGUGAGGAAUAUUGGUCAAUGGGCGCUAGCCUGAACCAGCCAAGUAGCGUGAAGGAUGACUGCCCUAUGGGUUGUAAACUUCUUUUAUAUGGGAAUAAAGUGCAGUAUGUAUACUGCUUUGCAUGUACCUUAUGAAUAAGGAUCGGCUAACUCCGUGCCAGCAGCCGCGGUAAUACGGAGGAUUCGAGCGUUAUCCGGAUUUAUUGGGUUUAAAGGGAGCGUAGGUGGGUUGUUAAGUCAGUUGUGAAAGUUUGCGGCUCAACCGUAAAAUUGCAGUUGAUACUGGCAGCCUUGAGUACAGUAGAGGUAGGCGGAAUUCGUGGUGUAGCGGUGAAAUGCUUAGAUAUCACGAAGAACUCCGAUUGCGAAGGCAGCCUGCUAGACUGUGACUGACGCUGAUGCUCGAAAGUGUGGGUAUCAAACAGGAUUAGAUACCCGGGUAGUC
rnacentral:rRNA from 1 species